rnacentral:rRNA from 1 species
GACGUAGGGCGCGAGCGUUGUCCGGAUUUAUUGGGCGUAAAGAGCUCGUAGGCGGUUUGUCGCGUCUGCCGUGAAAGUCCGGGGCUCAACUCCGGAUCUGCGGUGGGUACGGGCAGACUAGAGUUCGGUAGGGGAGACUGGAAUUCCUGGUGUAGCGGUGAAAUGCGCAGAUAUCAGGAGGAACACCGGUGGCGAAGGCGGGUCUCUGGGCAGUAACUGACGCUGAGGAGCGAAAGCGUGGGGAGCGAACAGG